rnacentral:tRNA from 1 species
GUUAUAAUAGUUUAAAAAAAACCUAGGUUUUGUAAACCUAAAUUGCAUCUUCUUAUAACA